UUUUUUUUUUUUUUUUUUUUUGGUUUGAAACAAUUUCCAAAUGCAUCAGGAAUCUUAUAGUACUAACUCAUCAUUUUCCAUACCACAGAUUUAUGUCUUCAAUAGGAGCUAUUUAGAAAUUGGCCCAUAGCCACCUGUACCCUUAAUUUUCUCUGGGCUACUUGGAAGUAUUUACAGAGAAAUGUGAGACAGUAGUUGAUGAAAACAGAGUUCUUCAUCCCAGCAGUAACAGCUAGAUAACUGACUGGCCAAACAUUUGGCCCAAACCAGGGAAUGGAAGAUGCCAUUCAAAGCCAGAUUCCAGUUUGCUUUAAGGAUUAUAUUUCUGUCAUCACAUUUCCUUGAAAGUCCCACCAACUAAAAAUCCCCCAGCAAAGCCCAAUGAUUAAAUUCUCCUGGAGCAUAUUUUUCCAGCUUCUGGAAACAAUCUGCUGCAGUGUCUCCUGUAACAUCCAAAGGAUAGUUCCAUUUCUGAGGCUGAUAUAUGGAAGUAGAUUACUCACAACCUAAUCCAUCCUCCCACCAACAAUUUGAUUUUGAAAUGACUAUGGAGAGACUGUGGUAAUAAAAUCCCCAUCCACUGAAAGGCUGUUCUUAUUUAAUAUAGCACAUCAUAGCCGUACUUUCAAAAUGAUGAUAUGUUACCGAAAUGUGACUCAGAUAAGCAAAAUGUCACCAUUAGACCUUUAAAUUAAAUGUAGAGACACUAUCAUUCAUGGUCAUAUGUAGAAACAUUAGGGAAGCACUAUGCUGUGUCCAAGGACAAAAUGAAAAUAAGCUCAGGACACAUCAGAUUUCGCCAAAAGCAAAAUCCUUGGACGCCCACUUUUAUUUGUGACUUACCCCAAGUCAAGUAGAUAUUCGGACAGAAAGACAGACAUUUUCUUUUGAUAUUUUAGGUGUCACAGAGUCCCUAAUAGAGGUACCUGUAAGUACCAUUUGAUCCGUGGCAGGUUUAGAUGUUACAAUUCUAACUAUCCGACAGACAUUUCUGGCUAGAUUCCCAUGGUAGUUUGCACUAACGACUUUCUGAAAGGGGAAAAUAAAGUAGAUAAAAUAAUAUAUUAGACUACCCCAUGCAUAGAAAAUGGGGUUAUCAAGUACGACCUUUGGACCUGACAAAUAAUAGUUGAAGCAUCCUUCUGAAUGAUCUGGGCAUCCCAUAAAUCUGGCAGUGGAACUCAUACAAUAAACCUUUGUCCUUGGGUCAAGGAUUACUUGGAGUAAUAAAAACCAAAAACCUAAAAGAAAGACCUAAAACGGGGCUCCUCUCACCACUGUAUCCAACAGUCUAUAGUUAUUAGCCUUUGUGCAACAUCCCAAUGACUGUUUUCUACUUCAGUGACAUAUGUUGACAUAUGUUGCUACUUUUGCUUUUGCUUUUGUUUUUUUCAAGUCAAUUAGGGUGCUUUCUAUUAUCACUCAACAAAGUUUAGAAGUAAACAUUGUUAGAGUGCUCCAUUUCCUGUAACCACAGUUCCCACACAUGAUUAUCUCCUCUGCAAUUUAAACAGCACUUAAAAUUGAGUGGUUCUGCAGACUA
rnacentral:lncRNA from 1 species